ACUGUAAAAAAAGCCAAGCGUCAUAGUCGCCAUUGUCCAUCUUUCUUUUCUACUGAAGAGUGAAGAUCUUAUUUUCACAGCACAUUCAUCUGUUAAAUUAAUAAUUAGGUAAUAAAUUUUCAAUAGUUACAUCUCUAAUGAAACUGUAAGUUUUGUUGUGAAGAAUUGUAUAUCGUUGUCUUGAUUUUAAGUAGCCUAUUUUUAACAUUGCUAGUGGCACUGACUAUAAACUUCAUACUUUUGGUAAUUAUUCUGAGCUUGUAUAAAGUUAUUGUGGUAAAUUAAGCGAUAUAGCAUCUUUUCCAUUACUGGUUUGUCGUAACAAAAAAGUUUGUGCUUUUGGCCUAUCAGUACAGCAGGCAGUGUGGAAAUAUUUUAAGCGACACAGCAUCUUUUCCAAUUUUAUAGGUUUGUCGUAACCCAAAAGUCCUUUUGGCCAAUCACCAGAUCAGCCAAGUGUAAAAGACAUCAUGUUCUUCGAAGAUAAAGGGGAGUUCUACAUUGUAGACUUACACACACCUGAAGGAUUACAAGUAUGUGUGGUGCCAGAUAUUUGGUGUUACUACGUAGACGACAAAUUCUGCUGUGUUUGGCCACAUUUUCAUCAGACAAAGGAAAUCAAGAGUAGGACUCAACCCAAGAGAGAGUGGGCCUCAUUCUAUGCGGA
rnacentral:lncRNA from 1 species